GGUCAGUGAUGUCUGGCAUGUAUUAGCUGAAAGCUAAUUUGAUGUGAUCUAAAUUUACACUGAGACCUU